rfam:Gossypium hirsutum cultivar TM-1 unplaced genomic scaffold scaffold2331.1, whole genome shotgun sequence
UAUUAAAAUUUUCAUCCAUUUGGUUUGUUAAAAACUAGCGAGUUAAUGAAAUAACUAGAUAAUGACAUGUGGUGCAUACACCUCAUGCUGACGUACACUAAUCUAUUUUUAGCAGUAGAAGUAAAUAAAACUUAUAACA